CGGCGUGCCUAUACAUGCAAGUCGAGCGGACUUAGAUGAGAGCUUGCUCUUAUCGAAAGUUAGCGGCGGACGGGUGAGUAACACGUGGGCAACCUGCCUGUAAGCCUGGGAUAACUUUUGGAAACAAAAGCUAAGACCGGAUAAUUUUUUUCGUCGCAUGGCGAGAAGAUAAAAAGUGCUAAGGCACUACUUACAGAGGGGCCCGCGGCGCAUUAGCUAGUUGGUAGAGUAAAAGUUUACCAAGGCGACGAUGCGUAGCCGACCUGAGAGGGUGAUCGGCCACACUGGAACUGAGACACGGUCAGACUCCUACGGGAGGCAGCAGUAGGGAAUCUUCCGCAAUGGGCGAAAGCCUGACGGAGCAACGCCGCGUGAGCGAAGAAGGCCUUCGGGUCGUAAAGCUCUGUCGUUAGGGAGGAAAAAGCAAUAGAGGAAAUGCUAUUGCCCAGACAGUACCUAACAAGAAAGCCCCGGCUAACUACGUGCCAGCAGCCGCGGUAAUACGUAGGGGGCAAGCGUUGUCCGGAAUCAUUGGGCGUAAAGCGCGCACAGGCGGUCUGGUAAGUCUGAUGUGAAACCCUGAGGCUCAACCUCAGGCCUGCAUUGGAAACUGCAAGACUUGAGAACAGAAGAGGAAAGUGGAAUUCCUAGUGUAGCGGUGAAAUGCGUAGAUAUUAGGAGGAACACCAGUGGCGAAGGCGACUUUCUGGUCUGUCACUGACGCUGAGGCGCGAAAGCGUGGGGAGCAACAGG
rnacentral:rRNA from 1 species